rnacentral:pre_miRNA from 1 species
AGCUAUUCGAAUCCGUGCUGAGAUUUCGUCAAACACCAACCCAUUAAGGCUGAUCAGAAUUCCAAGAUAAAUGAAGUU